rnacentral:rRNA from 1 species
UGUUUCGGCUAGGGGGUCAUCCCGACUUACCAACCCGAUGCAAACUCCGAAUACCUGUGAGUACUAUCCGGGAGACACACGGUGGGUGCUAACGUCCAUCGUGAAGAGGGAAACAACCCAGACCGCCAGCUAAGGUCCCCAAAUACCAGUUAAGUGGGAAACGAUGUGGGAAGGCUCAGACAGCUAGGAGGUUGGCUUAGAAGCAGCCAUCCUUUAAAGAAAGCGUAAUAGCUCACUAGUCGAGUCGGCCUGCGCGGAAGAUGUAACGGGGCUCAAACUGGUUACCGAAGCUGCGGCUGUGCACGCAAGUGCACGGGGUAGGGGAGCGUUCUGUAAGCCUGCGAAGGUGUGUCGAGAGGCAUGCUGGAGGUAUCAGAAGUGCGAAUGCUGACAUGAGUAACGACAAUGGGGGUGAAAAACCCCCACGCCGGAAGACCAAGGGUUCCUGCGCAACGCUAAUCGGCGCAGGGUGAGUCGGCCCCUAAGGCGAGACCGAAAGGUGUAGUCGAUGGGAAACGGAUUAAUAUUUCCGUACCUUGGAUAGCUGCGAUGGAGAGACGGAGAAGGCUAGGUGAGCCGGGCGACGGUUGUCCCGGUUUAAGCAUGUAGGCAGUGGGAUUAGGCAAAUCCGGUCCCACAAUGCCGAGACGCGACGACGACUGCCCUUUUAGGGCGGGAAGUCAUUGAUGCCCUGCUUCCAGGAAAAUCUUCUAAGCUUCAGGCUAUUCGAGACCGUACCCCAAACCGACACAGGUGGUCAGGUAGAGAAUACCAAGGCGCUUGAGAGAACUCGGGUAAAGGAACUAGGCAAAAUGGUGCCGUAACUUCGGGAGAAGGCACGCCGGUGGUAUGUGACGCCCUUCGCGGGUUGAGCAGAAGCCGGUCGAAGAUACCAGGCCCCUGCGACUGUUUAUUAAAAACACAGCACUGUGCAAACACGAAAGUGGACGUAUACGGUGUGACGCCUGCCCGGUGCCGGAAGGUUAAUUGAUGGGGUUAGCGCUUGCGCGAAGCUCUUGAUCGAAGCCCCGGUAAACGGCGGCCGUAACUAUAACGGUCCUAAGGUAGCGAAAUUCCUUGUCGGGUAAGUUCCGACCUGCACGAAUGGCGUAACGAUGGGGGCGCUGUCUCUACCCGAGACUCAGUGAAAUUGAAAUCGCCGUGAAGAUGCGGUGUAUCCGCGGCUAGACGGAAAGACCCCGUGAACCUUUACUAUAGCUUCACAGUGAACUUUGAGCAUGUUUGUGUAGGAUAGCUGGGAGGCUUUGAAACCAGGACGCCAGUUCUGGUGGAGCCAACCUUGAAAUACCAGCCUGACCUGUUUGAGGUUCUAACUUCGACCCCUUAUCGGGGUUAAGGACACUGUGUGGUGGGUAGUUUGACUGGGGCGGUCUCCUCCCAAAGAGUAACGGAGGAGCACGAAGGUUGGCUAAGUACGGUCGGACAUCGUACGGUUAGUGUAAUGGUAGAAGCCAGCUUAACUGCGAGACAGACACGUCGAGCAGGUACGAAAGUAGGUCAUAGUGAUCCGGUGGUUCUGUAUGGAAGGGCCAUCGCUCAACGGAUAAAAGGUACU